AUUGAACGCUGGCGGCAUGCUUUACACAUGCAAGUCGAACGGUAACAGGGAGCUUGCUCCGCUGACGAGUGGCGAACGGGUGAGUAAUGCGUCGGAACGUGCCGAGUAGUGGGGGAUAACGCAGCGAAAGUUGUGCUAAUACCGCAUACGUACUGAGGUAGAAAGUGGGGGACCUUCGGGCCUCACGCUAUUCGAGCGGCCGACGUCUGAUUAGCUAGUAGGUGAGGUAAAGGCUCACCUAGGCGACGAUCAGUAGCGGGUCUGAGAGGAUGAUCCGCCACACUGGGACUGGGACACGGCCCAGACUCCUACGGGAGGCAGCAGUGGGGAAUUUUGGACAAUGGGCGAAAGCCUGGUCCAGCCAUGCCGCGUGUCUGAAGAAGGCCUUCGGGUUGUAAAGCACGUUUGUCAGAGAAGAAAACUGUUGCGCUAAUAUCGCGACGGGAUGACGGUAUCUGAAGAAUAAGGACCGGCUAACUACGUGCCAGCCGCCGCGGUAACAC
rnacentral:rRNA from 1 species